GGACAAAUUGGCUGCGACACCUGCCACACUGAUCACCAGGGUUAAUCCUGCUGAUCUGGCUGGCUAAGCAUGGCUUCCCUCAUCACUCCACAUUCAUCCUUUCAAAGCUGUGAACUCAGUGGAAGAGGAGGACCAUCCUUCAUGGAAGAGGACCAGUCUUAGGCCAAGAGUAUUUCACUGACUGUUCUUUCCUGAUAUAACUUCAAACAAGCUCUCAAUGACUGUCAUGAUUCAAAUUAGCUAUUCUGAAAGAUUGCUCAGGAUUUCUCACAUUUUCUAGUUUGCUCUUUAUCUGUUGUGUAUGUGGCAUUCACG
rnacentral:snRNA from 1 species